CCUACGGGUGGCUGCAGUGGGGAAUAUUGCACAAUGGGGGGAACCCUGAUGCAGCGACGCCGCGUGGGUGAAGGAGUAUUUCGGUAUGUAAAGCCCUAUCAGCAGGGAAGAACAAUGACGGUACCUGACUAAGCCGCACCGGCUAAAUACGUGCCAGCAGCCGCGGUAAUACGAAGUGUGCACGCGUGAGCCGGAUUUACUGGGUGUAAAGGGAGCGCAGGCGGCGCGUUCAGCCUGGUGUGAAAGUCCGCGGCCCAACCGCGGGACUGCAUUGGGAACUGGCGCGCUGGAGUGCCGGAGGGGUAGGCGGAAUUCCUAGUGUAGCGGUGAAAUGCGUAGAUAUGAGGAGGAACACCAGUGGCGAAGGCGGCCUACUGGACGGUGACUGACGCUGUGUCUCGAAAGCGUGGGGAGCAAACAGGAUUAGAUACCCGUGUAGUC
rnacentral:rRNA from 1 species